rnacentral:rRNA from 1 species
GACGAACGCUGGCGGCGUGCUUAACACAUGCAAGUCGAACGAAGUGGCGGACGGGUGAGUAACGCGUAAUCAACCUGCCCUUCAGAGGGGGACAACAGUUGGAAACGACUGCUAAUACCGCAUACUGAAGGAGGGGAUUGCGUCUGAUUAGCUAGUUGGAGGGGUAACGGCCCACAAAGGCUAUGAUCAGUAGCCGGUCUUGGAGGAUGGACGGGCAAAAUGGGAAUGAGAAACAGCCCAAACUGCUACGGGAGGCAGCAGUGGGGAAUCAUCCGCAAUGGGCGAAAAGCUGACGGAGCAACGCCGAGUGAGUGAUGACAGCCUUCGGGUUGUAAAGCUAUGUUAAUCAGGACGCGGUACCGGAAUAGAAAGCCACGGCUAACUACGUGCCAGCAGCCGCGGUAAUAC